rnacentral:lncRNA from 1 species
AUAAGUGAAUCGAAUUACAAAAGUACUAGAGUCGAGAUGAUACCUUCUCUCUUCUCAAAUUGAAACUUAAAACUUGAGAACAUAUAUAUUGCUAAAGAAUAGACAAAAAUAUACAGAUUUGAGUAGAUAUUCAACACAAGUAACGAAAAUGAGACCGUUAUGAUAACCACACACCCAAAUUUGAAUAGAUUUGUCAUCAUUGAUUAAUGUCAAUCAAACCUCCUCCACG